CAUAGCUACCAGCAAACAGCACAGAGAGCACAACAGCUAUUCAUCCAGUCCCUAGCCAUCCCCAGUGCAUGCUUUAGACAUAUAGAUGAAACUUCUUCUAUGACACCAGAACAGAGAGAAUUAAGAGGCACUGAACCAGGGAUUUUGCUUGACAAGACAUCAAAGAGGUAACAGCCACAAGAGGAUCAGCAGGCUAAUCUCCAAGACACAAAAAUCUGAGAAGCAAAACCAGCUUGGCUAUAGUGAGGCGGAUCCAUGGCACAGUGCAGAGCACCUGAGACUGACAGACCCAUUCUGUAACUGAGCAUCACUGCUUGUGAUGUCAUACAUGAAAAUGGCCAACAGCUUACGUCUACAGGAGCUGCAAAAUGUAAAUCAUACUGUCAGGCCUACUGCCAGAGGCUGUGAGCAUCUGCAUCUCUACUGGGAAAAUCUUAGGGAUCUGCAAAUUCAAAAGCAUUAAGGACCUCCAUUACGGGAGAGAUGCAGACCCCUGGGAAAACUUUGGUACCUUUAAGAAGAAAUGGAAGGAAAAUGAAGCUUGACAAUCCAGGGGCUGGUCUGAGGAUUCGGUUGGCUUCCCUCAAAAAUAUAUUAUCAGCAGCAGAUUGCAGAGCAGAUGGAAAAGAACUAGACUUCAAGCAAUGUACAAAUUAUGAAAUUGAGGAGAUUGUUUCUUUACCAUAACUGUAUAUAAAGAACAACUGUGUCUGGGGCCAGUCUUUUGACAGGAGCUGGCAUGUAAUCGCAGCAGAGGGUUUCACAUGGAAAACACAGCAAAGAAGACAGCCUGUUCUUCCACUCCUUGGCUGACAAAGCAAACACCUUUGCUGUGACUUCUUAACCAUCCAACGGUUGAUACCAGUCCAACACUUGAUAUAACUUUGCUCUGUAUUGUACUGACUGCUUUAUUUUCUGAUCCCUACAAGACUCAGCAUUUUAAAUAAAAUUACCAUUGAAGUACA